AGGAUGAACGCUGGCGGCGUGCUUAACACAUGCAAGUCGAACGGUGAAGCAGGAGCUUGCUCCUGUGGAUCAGUGGCGAACGGGUGAGUAACACGUGAGAAAUCUGCCCUGGACUCUGGGAUAAGCGUUGGAAACGACGUCUAAUACCGGAUACGAGCUUCAGCCGCAUGGCUAGGAGCUGGAAAGAACUUCGGUCCAGGAUGAUCUCGCGGCCUAUCAGCUAGUUGGUGAGGUAACGGCCACCAAGGCAUCGACGGGUAGCUGGUCUGAGAGGACGAUCAGCCACACUGGGACUGAGACACGGCCCAGACUCCGUACGGGAG
rnacentral:rRNA from 1 species